GACGAACGCUGGCGGCGUGCUUAACACAUGCAAGUCGAACGGAAAGGCCCUGCUUUUGUGGGGUGCUCGAGUGGCGAACGGGUGAGUAACACGUGAGUAACCUGCCCUUGACUUUGGGAUAACUUCAGGAAACUGGGGCUAAUACCGGAUAGGAGCUCCUGCUGCAUGGUGGGGGUUGGAAAGUUUCGGCGGUUGGGGAUGGACUCGCGGCUUAUCAGCUUGUUGGUGGGGUAGUGGCUUACCAAGGCUUUGACGGGUAGCCGGCCUGAGAGGGUGACCGGCCACAUUGGGACUGAGAUACGGCCCAGACUCCUACGUGAGGCAGCAGUGGGGAAUAUUGCACAAUGGGCGGAAGCCUGAUGCAGCAACGCCGCGGGCGGGAUGACGGCCUUCGGGUUGUAAACCGCUUUCGCCUGUGACGAAGCGUGAGUGACGGUAAUGGGUAAAGAAGCACCGGCUAACUACGUG
rnacentral:rRNA from 1 species